AAAGAAAGAAAAAAGAAAGAAAAAAGAAAAAAGAAAGAAAUAAAAAAGGAAAAAAGACAAAAGAAAGAAAAAAGAAAAAAAAGACAAAAGAAAGAGAAAAAAGAAAGAAAAAAGAAAGAAAAAAGAAAUGAAAGAAAAAAAGGAAAGAAAGAAAAAAGAAAAGAAGAAAGAAAGAAAGAGAAAAAAAACGGACCUCGGUCCUUGUGCACAGCUUCCACUGGUCCUGUCCCAGGCCGAUCUUGAAGAGGGUCGCGGCAACACCCAUGUCCCAUUCCAAGCCUCGCUGUGUAAGUAGGAAACCACACUGACAACAUAGAUAGGCCAUUAGCAUGCCCUCUAAACAACGUACAAAACUUUUAUAGUCUGAAUGAUUUUAAUUACAGAAAUAUGUUUAUGAAUUUGUCUUUUUUAAUUUUAAUUUUCUUUAACAUUAAUUUAUUUCAAAGAUGUGAAACCUUCCCCUGGAAAAAUCAUUUCUGCAGACUUCAGAUUUUAUAAUUUGUCGUUUUUUCUGUCUCAGGUCCAAGUGUAGCAGUACAGCCUCGUCCAGAACCAGGAUAAGUCCACUCCUAGGCUGUUACUGAGGAAGGUCCCACCGAUGGACGGCCCUCCACAUUUCUCCUCCCCCAAGCUCAACCAGGUAAGUCACUCUCACUCCUCUUCUGUCUCUCCCUCUUUCUCUCCCUCUCCUCCUGUCUCUCUGAGAAAAAAAGAAAAAAGAAAGAAAAAAGAAAAAAAAAAGAAAAAAGAAAAAAGAAAGAAAGAAAAAAAGAAAAAAGAAAGAAAAAAAGAAAAAAGAAAAAGGAAAGAAAGAAAAAAGAAAAAAAGAAAGAAAAAAAGAAAGAAAGAAAAAAGAAAGUAAAAAGAAAGAAAGAAAAGAAAGAAAAAAGAAAGAAAGAAAAAAGAAAAAAGAAAGAAAGAAAAAGGAAAGAAAAAAAGAAAGAAAGAAAAAAGAAAAAAAAAGAAAAAGAAAAAAGAAAGUAAAAAAAAGAAAAAAGAAAGAAAAAAAAGAAAGAAAAAAUGAAAAAAGAAAGAAAGAAAAAAAAGAAAGAAAGAAAAAAGAAAGAAAGAAAAAAGAAAAAAAGAAAGAAAAAGAAAAAAGAAAGGAAAAACUUUGCCCUCAUAAUCAUUGUUUUUAGACAGGGCUAUCUGGCACACUGAUCUAGAGUCUGUCUCUAUCUCUUCUUUAGAUCUUUAUGUCCCAUAUAAUUCACUAGCCAGUUUUCUGUCUUUCUGAGUGUCUCUGAGUCUCUUAGCUGCCACUUGACUAAUGCUGCAGACGGUCUGCUGCGGAACUGCCUGACCCCAGCUGCAUUAUCCCUGAUUGUCCACCCUGGGCCCUGAGCUCCCCCAUCUCUUUGGCUCCUCUGGACUGUUGCUGCAGACUCACUCAUUCUCUCUCGCCUUCCCUUAUCUUGUUCUCUCUCUCUCCCCCUGUCCUCUCCCCUCUACCCUCUUCUCUCCACAUUCCUCCCCAACCCAGCAGCGGCAUGGUGGCUGUCUAACAUGAGGCUGGUCCUGCCCAAGGUUUCUGCCUGUUAAAAGGAAGUUUUUCCUUGCCACUGCUACUCAUGUUAGUUGAGAUGGGCCAAAACCCAUCUUAGGUUGGUUCUUGAUCAUCAAACAAUGAGCAUGGUCUAGACCUGCUCUUGUUCCUUGAAAAGCGUCUUACAACUGUUGUGAAUUGGUGCUAUAUAAAUAAAAAUUGAUUUGAUUUGA
rnacentral:lncRNA from 1 species